CCCGCACAAGCGGUGGAGCAUGUGGUUUAAUUCGAUGAUACGCGAGGAACCUUACCUGGGCUCAAAUGUAUGUUUGACGUAUUCUGAAAGGGAUACUUCUUCGGACAAUAUACAAGGUGCUGCAUGGUUGUCGUCAGCUCGUGCCGUGAGGUGUCGGGUUAAGUCCCAUAACGAGCGCAACCCCUACCUUUAGUUGCCAGCAGUUCGGCUGGGCACUCUAAAGGGACUGCCGGUGUUAAACCGGAGGAAGGUGGGGAUGACGUCAAGUCCUCAUGGCCUUUAUGACCAGGGCUACACACGUACUACAAUGGCCGAUACAAAGGGCAGCGACACUGCGAGGUGAAGCCAAUCCCGUAAAAUCGGUCUCAGUCCGGAUUGGAGUCUGCAACUCGACUCCAUGAAGUUGGAAUCGCUAGUAAUCGUGGAUCAGCAUGCCACGGUGAAUACGUUCCCGGGCCUU
rnacentral:rRNA from 1 species